ensembl:lncRNA
GGGGAAUACAGCACCCGCCCACUUCACUGGCACUUCCUCUCCUCUGAUCUGCCGUCCCCUGGCUCGUGUUCGGGUCGUCCAUUCCCAGAAUGUGAGUCCAGCCGGGCCGACCUUUUUUAUCCCCUGCAUUUUUCCCCCUUUCACAUUCAAUCAUGCGAAUGGAUUCAUUUUGUCCAAGAGCUGCAUCUGAGUGCAGACACAUCCCGUAAGAUGGACUAAUUCAACCCCAUAAUUCACUCAAAUGUGGAUACUCACAUGUUAGUGUUCACAGGUAGUCAUGCAGUUUCAGUUCUUUUGUUUUGAUGUAAAAUACUAUAAGACACUGAGAUCAUUUAUCUAAUUUUUCAUUGUAUUACUUCAAGUGAGCAGUAGUUGACUUUCCAAGUAUGAGUACAUCAGCAAACAACUCUUUGCAGUGUAAAGAUCCAGGGAAGCAUUGUGCAGAGAGUGAAGUCGCUGUUAUCUGAGCUUGCACUGGCGAGCCGUCCGAUGGCGGUCACAGCUGUCAGGGAAGCGUAGUUUUUACAUUCCAGUAGUUAAACUGGCUCAAUUCUGGUCGCACGAACGGUGCUUGGUAAAAGUGUUAAUUGGUUUCAUUCACACUGUUUCUUACCCGAGGCCUGUCUCUACUUUCCAUCCGUCCCUGCCAGUGGGUAGAGUUUGGCUUGUUAUUAAUACAAUUCAAAGUGUACACAGUCAUUGAAAAUAAAUGAGAAAUUAACUCCCCCCGCCGCCCCAAACCUCUGCAUAACGUACAAUCUGCAGGUUUGUGCCACACGAGGGCCGGCUGGUUAUGUGCGCUGAGGAGCGGGUACAGUGGUCGGGUUAAUGAGGGUCGGAGUCAAUGCCGGCUGUCAGAAAGCUGAGAGCAGAGAGGGUCCAGUAUCAACACAGGUAAUUGUGUCUUUAAUGCAACACAGACUUGGGCUGCCCUCUCUUUGUGAAACACCUGAACCAUGCUGGGACAAUCCCUAGGAUUAACUGAGAUUAACUGAGUUUUGCCCACAUUCUAUGCCCUGGAUGGUAGCGGAGAUCUUCCUUAUUUUGGCAUUCAAGUGGGGAUUUAUCAAACAGGAGAGGGCACCCUGUUCCCACCACAGCGCCUCCUAGAGGACUGUUCUGAAGACACCCAGCAUGCGCGGGUCGUGCAAGGCGUUCACCUUUCCAUUGAAGGCCAUAGAAAAGUUAACCACAUCUGAUCCUCAGCAGCACAAAGUAGAGUGGAACCAUCCACCACUGUUUAAUAUUUAGUAUUACCUUAUUUUGCUGGCACUCAGGCUCGACAAACCAUCGCCUGAUAUCAGACGGAUUUAUUCCCUCGUCACGCUCUUUAUUCCAUCGUCAUUCUGAAGUUGCCUCCUCUCUAAUCAAUUCGUGUGCAGGAUUGGAUUCUCCGGAGCAAUCACUGGGAACCAAAGUACUCGCCUGAAUGUCAUGUCAUCUUAAGUCAACAGGCGAUGUGUUGCCAUGACAACAUGCUGGCGGCGUGUUUUAAGUGUCGAGCAGUAUGUUAACAGAAAAGGUAAAAAAAAAAAAAAGCAGAAAGAACUGGUCAAUGAUUUUAGUUGACAUUGAGAACACACGCUGUAUUUGAAAAAAAAAAGAUUAUUUUAUAAAGGGAAUCACAUCAUAUUUAAAACAAUUCUGCUGCCCAAAUGACAUUUGCCUUUGAGGGGAAAAUGUAUCCGUCGUACAUUCUUAAAGGACUUAAGUGUUUUAAAUUAUUUAUAAAGUUUGAUUCAAAAUGCAUUGAAAAGAGGCGCCACGGGGAGUUUAACUUUACACUGACUCAAAUGAGGAAUGCAUGAGAAGCAGGACUUUGGUAGAAAGACGUUGUGCCAGUCUUAACCAGGCAUUUGGUAGCAGCAUGAUAGAGGUAAAUAAAACAUUCUUGCCGACAUCAAAGUGCUGUGCGUUGCUCACUCAUCUGGAACAGCUGCGACAGUCAUGUUGUCUGUAACAGUCUCCGUUGUUGUCAUCAUUACUCCGCUUCUCUGGCGCACGGCUGACAACAACUUGACAACAGCUUGACAGCGUGUUAGUACCGCCCCUUAGCUCUGAUUGGCCAAUUAUUAUCCCCCCUACUGUGCUUAUUUGUUGAUUUAUUUUUCAUUCAUUAGGAAAUUCUUGAAAUGUGUGGCUGACUUCACUUUUUUUCUUUUCGUCUGAGCCAAGAAGCAGUAAAGUUGAUAUUUUGAUCACUUAUUAUUAGUCAUCAUUCUUCUCUAUGAUCAUUCAUAUUAUGCGCACAAUGUACACACCUUAUUGAAUCUCAGCACACAAAAAUUUGAUUUUACAUAUAUAUUAUCAAAUAGAGAGAGCUGUGAAAGGCACAUAAGGAAACUGACUUUUAGAAUAUAUACUGCAUUUCAUUCUCAAAAUAAAAUGGACAACAGACAGUAAUUCAUUCCAUAAAACUACAAUGAAACAUAUCAAAUAUUCAUCCAAAUCAUCGGGAUCGCACUCGCAGACCCGCUGACAGAUGAAUACUGGAUCAAGAGAGUGAAACAGGAGGUAAAAUACCGCGGAUUCUCUGAUUCCCCUUUUUUUUGUUAACUGUCAAACUGGCUUAUUCCCAUGUGGUUUCAAAGAUAAUGGAAGAAUAUCGUUUCAGCAGUAUAAACUGUAUUUAGGACAUUUUUAACUCAUUUUCUGCUAAAGUUACUUCAAAAAGACCCAGAGCAACAUUUCAACCACAUCCUCAUGGCCACCAUUGACAGAAACGGGUUCAUUUUCCUCAGUAUAACAAAAUGACUGAAUUGGCAAGUCUCGUUGUUCUGUAUUGUCAAGAGCACCAUAAAGAAAACACAGAGAUAAACAACUGGAUCUACUGACAACCAGUCAUUGAUUCUCUCUCACACUGACUAGGGCGGCAUUGAAGACCUGCUGCAUUUAGUCCAUCUUAAUCUAACUCAGGUGCAGGUUUGUGCGGUUUCUGAAUACAUUUGUUGUACUUUGGUGCCGACCGAAACACCAAGACUGCUUGCAAGAGGACGUCCGUUUCCACGGGAACCAACAAAGAGGACAUUUGUGUGACGUCCUUGUUGCUUUUCCUUUUUUUUGGUUUCCAUCUUUCUUUGUCCCGCGUCGUUCUUUAUCAGACCCCCACUUAGUCAGUGUUAAUCGCAUAACAUGCAGCAUUAGGGAGCACUGCUAGUGGGGUUAAUGAGUGUGUGUUUGUGUGUGUGUGAGACACACAACGUGUCAUUAGAAGUAUCAGUGCAGUGUUUGUACGGUUUAAUAAAUGACAAAAACCCUAAGGUCUGAAGCCAGGUUCCUGUGACCUACUUUCCACUUGCUGAUCUGAACAAAUAUAGUACCGUUGAGUCGAUAAAAUAUUUGUAUCAUGAUAAAACUCCCUCCACUACUUACACAACUAUAUUAAGGUCAUUAUUAUUAUAAUGCCUUUACUUCCUGUAUUUAAUAUGAAACAUUUUCAUUGGCAAGUUAUGCCAAUACAAUGUUCUUAAAGCCAAAGCGUCUUUUUUUUCAUUACCAAAUCAUUUGUUACAAAAUACUGAUGACAAUUUCAUGAUUUAAAUAUUACCAUGAAAUACUACCAUGGUAAAAAUAUCUGAAUCACUUAUGCUGUAUUAUAAUUGCACGGGUGACACAUUUCAACUACGUUUCUCGAGGCAAUUACGUUCUUUUGUGCCGGUAUCGACACUUCCUCUAUUUUUACACCAAGAAAACCGAUGGGGAGCAGAUGAGGAACUCUUUGUCAUGUGUAUUGUCAUGAUACAAUUACCUCCCAUGGAUCUGAUUUACUGCCAUAUGGCAUGUUCUGUCCCUUGCUAUGGUUUGUGAUCACUAAUGAGGCAAUUUCCUUUGCUGGAUAACAUUUACAUCCUGGCGUCAAUAUCAAAUGACUUGACAUCGUAGUUCUCGCUUGAAUUCCAUUUCAAUAAUGGAAUAACGGUUUUAGCAAAAGUCAUUUCCUGCCUUGAAAGUCUCGGGCGUGUUUAACAGCUUGUGUUUAAGGUAUUUAAAAAAAAAAUUCCACUAAAUACCUCCACAUCAACGUGUGGGAUGGUAGGAGCGCAGCACAGGCGCUAAAUAGGGAAAUCAAAAGCAGCCUUAACGCAUCACAUUAGUUUGUGUUCUGAGUCAUUUGAACCCUUUUCUGAAAGCAGUUGAACGUGUGCAAUAGCAGAUCCAACAGAUAGACAUUUCUCCGGUUCCCUUUCGCUCACAUCUAGACGAAAGACACGCACACACACACACACAUUCACCCUUUGACAACUCUCCAAAGUGAUUUACAACUGGGAUGGCGGCCAUCUCUGAAACAGCCUCUCAGCGUGUUUGGAAGAGAAACGGCCCACAUUGCCACAGCCAGAGGACGCGUGUCCGUCAGCUGCGAGUGCAAAACAAAUCAAAUAUUCUCUAUCAAUCAGGCACGACACGUCCUUAUCAAUUAUUCCCAUGGAUCUGAAGGUGUUUGUGUCAACACAGGUCUCUUCCGUGGAGCUUUGACAGGCAACCCCCCCCCCCCCCCCCCUCGUUCCUAACAUCAAUCUGAGUUAAUCCACACAGAGGGUGCAUUCAUGUCCCUUUCCGCAACAUAUUUCCUCUGGCUCCGCUCCCGCUCAGCCAUCCCUCACGUCAUUUCUCUCCAUCCUGCCGGCCUUUCAUCUGGCAAGGAAACGCGAAGGCGACGCUUGUUCUGUCACCGGGGUGGGGGGUGGUGGGGGGUGG